rnacentral:lncRNA from 1 species
UAGAAUCUUAAACUCCACAUUCCAAAAUCCUAUCUCACCCUUCAACUCUAAACUCUAAGACUAUGAUUAACCCCAAUCUCUUAACUAGGGUUCUUAGGUUCGGCUAAGAGACAAUUUUUAGUUUUUCUUAGUUUUUAAUUAAGAAAAGCUAAGAACCGUCUCUUAAAUAAGAGAUAUAAGAGCCGUCUCUUAGCCGAAAAGUGCAAAAAAAAAACAAAAAAAUGUCAAAUCAUGAGUUAAAAACUCUGGCUAAGAGACAGUGGUUAAUCAUGCCCUAAGUCUAAAUUAAUUAACCCUAGGACUAUAAGUGUAUUUUAUACCUCUUUAAAAGUGAGGGUAAAAGUGGUUAAGUUAAACAUGAAAAAGUGAUAUCAGAAAUUUGAUAUUUUAGGCAAUUCCCAAC